rnacentral:lncRNA from 1 species
ACUCCUUCCAUCGAGUUUAACCUCUUUACCUCCCACAUCCUGGUAAACCCUGCCCCCUCCCUACCGCCCCCUUUGCUGGUGAUUAAAUCCUGAAGGUACACGAAGUAUUUCAGUGAAUGAAUGGCUAACAGAAAAGGGCCUCCCCUCCCCCUUACCCUGGCGGUGUUUUUCAGUUUUAUUCCACUUUCCGCCCUUUUCCCUUAAUGAACACAGGGCUAAUCUCGGGCCUUGUCGAAGGAAGAGGCUGCAGACGUUAAUGAGGUUAGCUGCUGGAUUCCAGUAUUCGUCGCAUAAGGAUCCUUCUUUGUCUGCGAAGGAAAAACACACUGAUUAUCAUAAUGAGGCACGUGGGCCGUGGCCCGGCUGGGUCGGCUGAAGAACUGCGGAUGGAAGCUGCGGA